GCGCCCGUAGCUCAAUGGAUAGAGCAUUUGACUUCGAAUCAAAGGGUUGGGGGUUCGAGCCCCUCCGGGCGUA
rnacentral:tRNA from 1 species